GAUGAGCGCUGGCGGCGUGCCUAAUACAUGCAAGUCGAGCGAAUGGAUUGAGAGCUUGCUCUUAUGAAGUUAGCGGCGGACGGGUGAGUAACACGUGGGUAACCUGCCCAUAAGACUGGGAUAACUCCGGGAAACCGGGGCUAGUACCGGAUAACAUUUUGAACCGCAUGGUUCGAAAUUGAAAGGCGGCUUCGGCUGUCACUUAUGGAUGGACCCGCGUCGCAUUAGCUAGUUGGUGAGGUAACGGCUCACCAAGGAAACGAUGCGUAGCCGACCUGAGAGGGUGAUCGGCCACACUGGGACUGAGACACGGCCCAGACUCCUACGGGAGGCAGCAGUAGGGAAUCUUCCGCAAUGGACGAAAGUCUGACGGAGCAACGCCGCGUGAGUGAUGAAGGCUUUCGGGUCGUAAAACUCUGUUGUUAGGGAAGAACAAGUGCUAGUUGAAUAAGCUGGCACCUUGACGGUACCUAGCCAGAAAGCCACGGCUAACUACGUGCCAGCAGCCGCGGUAA
rnacentral:rRNA from 1 species